GGAGGCCAGUGAAUGGCAAGACUAGGAACACCUUUACUUUGUGGUGUCAAAAAAACUUUUCGUCUAGGUGAAAAGACUUAGAUAACAAAGGAAGACGAAAAGACCCCGGGGAGCUUCACCUCUUCUCGCGCUUCUGUUUACACACUUAAAAGUGCUUAAGGUUUGAUUGGGGCAAUCUCGGAAUCAUCAAAGCUUCCGAUUCUUUAGAAAUCACAUCUAAAACUUACUAAGGACCAAAAAGAAGCUACCCCGGGGAUAACAGCGUAAUCCAACUCAAGAGUACAUAUCGAAAGUUGGGUUUGCGACCUCGAUGUUUGGUAA
rnacentral:rRNA from 1 species